AAUAUCUCAUAAACCAACCUUUCACACAUUUUUUAUUCACUUAUUCAAUUUCAUAUUUUCAAUUCAAGUUACAACAUAUAUGUCCCAUUCAUAUUUUUAAAUUACAACAUUUCCAUUCAAUUUCCAAUCCGUAUUUCAAACCAUUAGUUUCCGUUUACAUUUACAUUCACAAACAAUUCACAAAUCUGAACCUUAAAUUCUACACUUACUUCAUUAUCCUCAUUCUUGUGAGUCUCCAAAAGUUUCAUAAAUUUAAUUCUUUGAUCAAACCUUCAUGAGCAAGUUAUUCCACUCCAUGCCAAGCCAAGGACAUGAGUGCACCAACCCUAUAAUAACCAAUUUCAACUUGUUAAUACUAUAAUAAAAACACAUACAUAUAGGAUACAUUAACCACAUCCACUCCAUUCAAUAAUUUACAGCAUCAUUAACAAUUAAUUUUUAAUUCAAGCUUAACACAACAAGAGUAACAGUUCUGUGAAGGAUUUUGCAAUUACUGAUGUCUCUUAUCUUUACUUUUCGUCAAAGAUCAUACGUGAGAACUCUGUUGAUUCACUACAGAAAAUUAAGCAGACAAAUUCUAGUAAUUUCGAUAGUAGCUAUUCCCAUGGUUCGGCUUCUAGAGGCUUCAAUAACUCUAUCAGUUCUUCUAUGUUUAGAGAGACCAUUAGAUCUGAUAGUGAUUAAGAUUCGGUCUUCAGAUUCCGUUUUGAUAGCGUUUUCGCUUCAACAUCGGAUAUGAGGGUGAAGAACGAGAGAACGUUGUUGGAGUUAAUUUGAGUUGCGGCAAAGUGAAGGUUCAUGUACUGAAGGUGAAUCAUGGACGCAAAUUCGGACCCUGGCUGGCCA
rnacentral:lncRNA from 1 species